rnacentral:other from 1 species
AAUUCCCUGCGAUGUGCGUGAUUCGGAUGGAGAAUCUUGAGCCAUUAGCACUAAACUAGGGAGCCUAACUGAACGGACGCCUUGGCGUACGUACGAGGGCACCCACCUGUUACGAACAGGGUCAAGAUAAUUCAAUCACACACGGCAUCAGCGGGGAUUUU